CUUAGACGGUACUCCAUCCAUCGAUUAAAACCGUCCGGAUACAGUCCGCAGAAAUACGGUCUUUGUCGGCCCGCUGCCGAUUUGGAUAUGGCUUUAUCCUAGGUCUAAGUCAGACCGCCGCUUCCCCGAGAAAGGUCCGGGCGCUCUUCUACUUACCAGGUAAUUGCUACCCGAGCUGCGCGGAUAAAUCGGGUGAUGGGUGCUCGGAUACCGGCGUUAUUUGGCUGCCCCAGUACCGAAAUAACUCCAGCCACCGUAUAUGAUAAUAUAUUUGGCCGUUGGCUGUCUUAUUUGACCGAUGGGAGGAAAACUUUCCGAGAUAAAGCCGGGAAUUUUGGGUGUACCAGCACCGUCUGACUAAAUCGGUAACGUCAUCUUAUAUGUGACUAGGCUAUAGCUUAAAUCUACAUGAAGACUCAGAAAUUUGCCAACCAAAUCUGACCUUAAUCGGUGCCAAUGUCGGUAAUUAAAAGAGCGCCCUUUGUUAUUUUUUUAACUAGCCUCCUUUAAUAGAUUGGUCGGACGCAACCGCCUAUUUAAUCGGCUGCCAUCUUGCCAGGUUCAGUACCCGGGGGCCCGGUAGUUCCGCUCAUCUAGAUUAACCCGGGCGAGGGAGACGGCCCCGACUGGAUUUCGGCCGUCAGGCGCGCUAUCACCGGACCCACGGACGAAAUUUUUAUCGUUUCGGACGGUGGACCGAUUCCCGGAUGGACGGUACCCAGUUUACCCACCCACGGUCCCAGUCCGGACCACCAUUAAUUAAGGUUCCGUUUAUUCGUUAUCGGGCCGGUGGUUGCCGAAUUUUUGAUAGUAGCAGAAGGACCGAGUCGGGCUCGUCUCGCUCGAUUCUGCUGUUAACGAACACUUUUGGCCAUCCCAGCUCUUCCCAUCGCCCGAUUAAUUCGACCGGGUAGAAUUUAUCUACCUACUUACCCGUCGGCUGUUAUUCGCCCCGCCGUCCUUUCUCUCCUUCCUUUCGUUUUCCUUUACCUCUCCGGCUGGUUGGGGACUCUUAUCACCUGGCGGGUGAGAUGCCCAUCCGGAUCCCGCAAAUUCCAUUAUUUUUGGUGGUAUCCCCUCCUCCCACCUUGGCCCGCCAUCGUUUUAUUUAAAG
rnacentral:lncRNA from 1 species